rnacentral:rRNA from 1 species
UGGCGGACGGGUGAGUAACGCGUGGAUAACCUGCCUCACACUGGGGGAUAACAGUUAGAAAUGGCUGCUAAUACCGCAUAAGCGCACAGUACCGCAUGGUACGGUGUGAAAAACUCCGGUGGUAUGAGAUGGACCCGCGUCUGAUUAGGUAGUUGGUGGGGUAACGGCCUACCAAGCCGACGAUCAGUAGCCGACCUGAGAGGGUGACCGGCCACAUUGGGACUGAGACACGGUCCAA